GGUAUUCAUCAGAUGAAGAUGUAUUAAAUAUAUUAUGUAUGUCUUGAAGACAUGUACAGCAUAGUUCAGAAAAUUCACAUAUCAAUAGGUCAUGGUGGUAGGGACAAAAUGGUAUUAAAAGUGCGCAAAUGUUUCAUUCAAAGUAUUAGAACUUUACAAGAAACUUUGAGAGGAAUGCCAACUAAAAAAAACUUAGAGCUGCUACAGUAAAGGUAUUGUUGUUAAGUCUAUGAUAAGCAAAGAGGUCAAUUUUCCUAGUACAGGUUGAUUUGAUACAGACAUGCAUCAAAAAGCAGGCAAAU
rnacentral:lncRNA from 1 species